UAGAGAUAGAGCCUUCCCCUUCGGGGGACAAAGUGACAGGUGGUGCAUGGUUGUCGUCAGCUCGUGUCGUGAGAUGUUGGGUUAAGUCCCGCAACGAGCGCAACCCUUACACUUAGUUGCCAGCAUUUAGUUGGGCACUCUAAGUUGACUGCCGGUGACAAACCGGAGGAAGGUGGGGAUGACGUCAAAUCAUCAUGCCCCUUAUGAUUUGGGCUACACACGUGCUACAAUGGACAA
rnacentral:rRNA from 1 species